rnacentral:tRNA from 1 species
GGUCACGUGGCCGAGGGGUUAGGCAGAGCUCUGCAAAAGCUCCCACAGCGGUUCAAAUCCGUUCGUGACCU